AUUGAACGCUGGCGGCAUGCCUUACACAUGCAAGUCGAACGGUAACGCGGGGCAACCUGGCGACGAGUGACGAACGGGUGAGUAAUGCAUCGGAACGUGCCCAGUAGUGGGGGAUAGCCCGGCGAAAGCCGGAUUAAUACCGCAUACGACCUACGGGUGAACGGGGGGGAUCGCAAGACCUCUCGUCUUUGGAGCGGCCGAUGUCAGAUUAGGUAGUUGGUGGGGUAAAGGCCUACCAAGCCGACGAUCUGUAGCUGGUAUGAGAGGACGACCAGCCACAAUGGGACUGAGACACGGCCCAGACUCCUACGGGAGGCAGCAGUGGGGAAUUUUGGACAAUGGGCGAAAGCCUGAUCCAGCCAUGCCGCGUGCGGGAAGAAGGACUUCGGGUUGUAAACCGCUUUUGUCAGGGAAGAAAUCUUCUGAGUUAAUACCUCGGGAGGAUGACGGUACCUGAAGAAUAAGCACCGGCUAACUACGUGCCAGCAGCCGCCGUAAGAC
rnacentral:rRNA from 1 species